UAAAUUGGACAAUAAUCACUGGAGUCUUGGGGUAGUGGACUUUACUUCAUGUACCAUAUUUCUUUAUGACCCUAUGGCUAUGGCGAUGUUAAGAGAAGAGAGAAGCUUCCACAAAAAAAUUAGAUUACUGAUAGCACACCUUCAAGCAAUAUGCCCAGAAAUGAGUCCACCAGAUGUUAAAUAUUUUGAUAACUCCACAAAAUU